UACGGAGGGGGCGAGCGUUAUUCGGAAUUAUUGGGCGUAAAGGGCGCGUAGGCGGCUGUACAAGUCAAAGGUGAAAUCCCUCGGCUCAACUGAGGAACUGCCUUUGAAACUGUACGGCUUGAGGCCGGGGGGGGGUAGCGGAAUUCCCAGUGUAGCGGUGAAAUGCGCAGAUAUCAGGAGGAACACCGGUGGCGAAGGCGGGUCUCUGGGCCGAUACUGACGCUGAGGAGCGAAAGCGUGGGGAGCGAACAGG
rnacentral:rRNA from 1 species